UGGGUGUAAGCGCUUAAACUACCCCGGCACGCAGCGCGCUACAACCGUAGAUGGCGGUCUCUGGCCCUUGUACUUCGGAAUCUCAUUAGUGAGUGCCGAUGGGGGUGCUGCACAAGUCUGUCUCAGCAUUCCUAAGAGGCUGUCUGGGGAACGUGAUAGCUCUUCCGCCGGCUGUGCACGAACGAACUUAGCUUUCCGCCGCUUCCUCGGACCGGCCCGAUGUGACGAAUCUGCCGUUGCGGCACGGUGGCUAGGCGCGCAAGGCCCCAGCGACACUCGUGGAAUCUGCUGUGGGAGAAGGGAGGCCAGGGCGCCUUGGGAGCGAGUCAUGGCGGCGACUGCUCCCGGUGCCGGGGGCUCGGCGCCUGGGGCGGCGGGCUCCGCCGAAGCCCCGCUGCAGUACAGCCUGCUUCUGCAAUACCUGGUAGGGGACAGGCGUCAGCCGCGCGUGCUGGAGCCUGGUAGCCUGGGCGGGAUCCCAAGUCCGGCCAAGAGUGAGGAGCAGAAGAUGAUCGAGCGAGCGAUGGAGAGCUGCGCCUUCAAGGCAGCGCUGGCCUGCGUGGGAGGAUUUGUCCUGGGAGGUGCAUUCGGGGUGUUCACUGCCGGCAUUGAUACCAAUGUAGGCUUUGACCCUAAGGAUCCUUACCGAACUCCGACAGCAAAGGAAGUUCUCAAAGACAUGGGGCAGAGAGGAAUGUCCUACGCCAAAAAUUUUGCAAUUGUGGGCGCGAUGUUUUCUUGCACUGAAUGUUUGGUAGAAUCUUACCGGGGACGAUCAGACUGGAAGAACAGUGUCAUUAGUGGCUGCAUCACUGGAGGAGCCAUUGGUUUCAGAGGUACCAUUUUCACGAGACUGGAACCAGUUCUUUGGAAUGAGAAGAGGUAAAUGAUGGCACCCCGGACUAGAUCAUGUACAUGGCCUCGUUGAAGGCUUACAGACCUGAUAGCGGGUGUAAAAGCUGGGGUCAUUGGCUGCGGAGGUUUUGCUGCUUUCUCUGCUGCCAUCGAUUACUACCUACGAUGAGAGGCCUUGCCCCUUGGGGAGGAUGUUGCGAGCCCAGGACCAGAGCUGUUGUGGGGAGGGCACUUGCUUCGGAGACUGAAGACAUUUGUUUUCCCCCAUGUAGCUGGUGUUGCGACAGAGACACCUGGCUGCUCGGGGCCGCCAGCUUCUGAGCAGCCAUAUUCUCUGCUCCCAGACCCCAGCCAGGCUGUGCAGGACAUGUGCUAUGCCAGCCUCUCUUUGGGCAGAUGAGGAGGCAAUGUGUUAAUUUGGAGGAAUUAAACUCUGCAGAGGUUUAGUCCUGACCACAGCUGGCCUCUGGUUGCCUGGUGCUGUGGGAAUAGGUGACUUCAUACACCCCCAGGAAGCUGUUCAGCCUUGAACUCUGUGCGGUCACCCAUCUCACACAUUGGUGGGGUGAAGUAAAUUUAUGCCAUCUGACCAAUCACAUCAUUUUGUUUAGUGUUCUGUCCUUGUUAAAAAAUAUAUAUAUAUUUAUAUUGCA